rnacentral:rRNA from 1 species
AAUUCGAUUAGUUUGAUUAUGGCUCAGGACGAACGCUGGCGGCGCGCUUAACACAUGCAAGUCGAGCGAGAUCCAGGCCUUCGGGCCUUGGGGAAAGCGGCGAACGGGUGAGUAACACGUGGGUAACCCACCCUUGGUACCGGGAUAGCCCGAGGAAACUCGGAUUAAUACCGGAUGGCCCAACAGCUUCUCGAAGCGGUUGGAAAAGGUAGCUUCGGCCUCCGACCAAGGACGGGCCCGCGGUGGAUUAGCUUGUUGGUGAGGUAACGGCUCACCAAGGCUUCGACCCAUAGCUGGUCUGAGAGGACGAUCAGCCACACUGGGACUGAGACACGGCCCAGACUCCUACGGGAGGCAGCAGUGGGGAAUCUUGCGCAAUGGGCGAAAGCCUGACGCAGCGACGCCGCGUGGGGGAAGAAGGCUUUCGGGUUGUAAACCCCUUUCAGGAAGGACGAAGCCACUCGGGUUAAUAGCCCAGAGGGUGACGGUACUUCCAGAAGAAGCCCCGGCUAACUACGUGCCAGCAGCCGCGGUAAUACGUAGGGGGCAAGCGUUGUCCGGAUUUAUUGGGCGUAAAGAGCGUGUAGGCGGUCAGAUAGGUCCGUUGUGAAAACUCGAGGCUCAACCUCGAGACGCCGAUGGAAACCAUCUGACUAGAGUCCGGAAGAGGAGAGUGGAAUUCCUGGUGUAGCGGUGAAAUGCGCAGAUAUCAGGAAGAACACCCGUGG